AUCCAGCUGAUGGGUCCUAAAUAGGACGAAACGCGCGUCCUGGAU
rnacentral:hammerhead_ribozyme from 1 species